GGAGAGCAGACACCGUCCACUGGGGCUCACAGUGCUAUCCGGGUGAGGACCUCCAUGGAGAGCUCCUCUUUGCCAAAGAAAAGCAAAGUUGCAUUAGGUCUGUGAGCAGGCAGGGCCGCCUCUUCCCGGCUUCCCACCCACCACGGAGGCUUCAAGUCCCUGGGACAGAGGUGGGGGACUCCAGCGCCCCUGGAGGAAGGGAGAUAGAGGUGGGGGCGCGUCCAGGGCCUGAUUCGGGGGCACGGUGGUCUGUGCAACCGAGCCCCUGCCCUGGGUUCCACUAGCACCUGCUCCUUUCCCCAGGUUGUAGAGACCACCAGGGGAGGUGCCAGGCGUGCAGGCUGCCACGGGAGGGGUGGGGAGGUGGGGAGUCGCUGCGGUGGGAGGGGGGGACCUAGGCCAGCCAGCUGAGGAUGUGUUGCUGCACUCCCGGGAGGGCAGUAUAUGUGGGUGAGGGUCCCCAUACAGGGUGGCGCCCAGAAGCCUCCCUUCCAGAAUCGUCUCUGGUCUACCUUGAAGUCCCCAGGAAAAUGCCCUUGUGCUCCGCAGGUGUGAGCCACUAGGCCUGACUGGACGCCAGGACUGGGCUUUCAGAGAGGGAGGUGUCAAGUGGUUUGAGUGUUGCCAGGUAUUAAUUAAGCGCUUGCUGUGUGCCAGGCACUUUCCCACACAGGGCGGAGCCGGACCACCCUCACAGCCCCUGUCCCAUAGGCGCUGGCCUUGUGGAGGGAGGCGGGCAGCAGGUAGCCCCGAAAGCACCUCCCAGAGGCGGGGACUUCAGGAAGGAUGGUCUGCGACAGGUGCACGCUCAGAUCACGGAUGUGUCGGGAACAGCUGUGACUCCUGCUGCUCAGCGUCUGUCACUCCAGGCUGGGAGUGGGUCCCCAAGCUUCCGGCUGGGCCCAUCCGUCUCCCCUCUCAGUGGUGGGUGGGGGGAGCGCCAACAGCACGAUUUGCUCUCCGCACUUCUCAUCUGACAGUGGGCAGAGGGUCCUUCUCCAGCCCUAAAACAUCCCCAGGCAGGAGCCCUGGGGCUCCAAGCAGCCAGGGAGAGGUGAGUACCAAGGACCUCCCUACGGGCGUCAUCUCCUGCCGAGGGAGGCCACGCCUAGGGGUGGUGUCUGUGACUUGGAGUCAACACUUUCACUGGUGGCAGUAAAUGCUGUCCCUAACCCUGCAGUAUAGAUGUGGGUUUCUGUGCCCUGUACACGAGGGUGCUAUCUGACACCAGACACCCAGACUACAGAUUGCAGCCCCAUUCCUGGUCCUCGCGCCACUGAACCCCAGACCCCAGCCUCAUUCUAGGCCCUCAUCCCCUAGAUCCAGGGACCCCAGCCCCAUUUCAGCCCUUGGGCCCUUGUAGGAUGCCAGGCCCUGGCUCCCCUGGGCCCCAGCCCCCAGCCCAUCCCAGGCCCAGGCACCAGGGGGGCCGAGGUCCUCUGAGAAGGGACACGGGGCCUGGGGGGGCUCUCUCAGCCCAUCAGCAGGAGAGGACUGAUUCCAGAAAAAUCAGCCUUUGUGCCCACUUAGACUGCCAAGACCUGUGUCCGUCCUUCCACACUCAACCUUCAGAUUUCAUGAGGCUCCUUGCCCGGAAUGUCCACGUUUGAAACCUCCCAACACCGAGCCCCAUUUCAAGUAUAACCGGGAGGGAAAAUGGUGCUUGAAAUAAGCAUGCUGCAAAGGAAAACCUGCUUUCUCGAAAUGGGCUCUGGCUGCUCAGGUCCUGACCUCCCCGGCCAGGAUGGAACGUUCCAGAGACCCAUUAGUGCCAAAGGCAAAUUAAAACACACCCUGUAAAAAUGUC